UACGGAGGAUGCGAGCGUUAUCCGGAUUUAUUGGGUUUAAAGGGUGCGCAGGUGGUUUAUUAAGUCUGGUGUAAAAGGCAGUGGCUCAACCAUUGUAUGCAUUGGAAACUGGUAGACUUGAGUGCAGGAGAGGAGAGUGGAAUUCCAUGUGUAGCGGUGCAAUGCGUAGAUAUAUGGAGGAACACCGGUGGCGAAAGCGGCCCUCUGGCCUGUAACUGACACUGAGGCUCGAAAGCGUGGGGAGCAAACAGG
rnacentral:rRNA from 1 species